rnacentral:rRNA from 1 species
GAUGAACGCUGGCGGCGUGCCUAAUACAUGCAAGUCGGGCGAACGGACGAGAAGCUUGCUUCUCUGAUGUUAGCGGCGGACGGGUGAGUAACACGUGGAUAACCUACCUAUAAGACUGGGAUAACUUCGGGAAACCGGAGCUAAUACCGGAUAAUAUUUUGAACCGCAUGGUUCAAAAGUGAAAGACGGUCUUGCUGUCACUUAUAGAUGGAUCCGCGCUGCAUUAGCUAGUUGGUAAGGUAACGGCUUACCAAGGCAACGAUGCAUAGCCGACCUGAGAGGGUGAUCGGCCACACUGGAACUGAGACACGGUCCAGACUCCUACGGGAGGCAGCAGUAGGGAAUCUUCCGCAAUGGGCGAAAGCCUGACGGAGCAACGCCGCGUGAGUGAUGAAGGUCCUCGGAUCGUAAAACUCUGUUAUUAGGGAAGAACAUAUGUGUAAGUAACUGUGCACAUCUUGACGGUACCUAAUCAGAAAGCCACGGCUAACUACGUG